rnacentral:rRNA from 1 species
GACGAACGCUGGCGGCGUGCUUAACACAUGCAAGUCGAACGGAAAGGCCCUGCUUUUGUGGGGUGCUCGAGUGGCGAACGGGUGAGUAACACGUGAGUAACCUGCCCUUGACUUUGGGAUAACUUCAGGAAACUGGGGCUAAUACCGGAUAGGAGCUCCUGCUGCAUGGUGGGGGUUGGAAAGUUUCGGCGGUUGGGGAUGGACUCGCGGCUUAUCAGCUUGUUGGUGGGGUAGUGGCUUACCGAGGCUUUGACGGGUAGCCGGCCUGAGAGGGUGACCGGCCACAUUGGGACUGAGAUACGGCCCAGACUCCUACGGGAGGCAGCAGUGGGGAAUAUUGCACAAUGGGCGGAAGCCUGAUGCAGCAACGCCGCGUGCGGGAUGACGGCCUUCGGGUUGUAAACCGCUUUCGCCUGUGACGAAGCGUGAGUGACGGUAAUGGGUAAAGAAGCACCGGCUAACUACGUGCCAGCAGCCGCGGUGAUACGUAGGGUGCGAGCGUUGUCCGGAUUUAUUGGGCGUAAAGGGCUCGUAGGUGGUUGAUCGCGUCGGAAGUGUAAUCUUGGGGCUUAACCCUGAGCGUGCUUUCGAUACGGGUUGACUUGAGGAAGGUAGGGGAGAAUGGAAUUCCUGGUGGAGCGGUGGAAUGCGCAGAUAUCAGGAGGAACACCAGUGGCGAAGGCGGUUCUCUGGGCCUUUCCUGACGCUGAGGAGCGAAAGCGUGGGGAGCGAACAGGCUUAGAUACCCUGGUAGUCCACGCUGUAAACGGUGGGUACUAGGUGUGGGGUCCAUUCCACGGGUUCCGUGCCGUAGCUAACGCUUUAAGUACCCCGCCUGGGGAGUACGGCCGCAAGGCUAAAACUCAAAGGAAUUGACGGGGCCCCGCACAAGCGGCGGAGCAUGCGGAUUAAUUCGAUGCAACGCGUAGAACCUUACCUGGGUUUGACAUGGAUCGGGAGCGCUCAGAGAUGGGUGUGCCUCUUUUGGGGUCGGUUCACAGGUGGUGCAUGGCUGUCGUCAGCUCGUGUCGUGAGAUGUUGGGUUAAGUCCCGCAACGAGCGCAACCCUUGUUCACUGUUGCCAGCACGUUAUGGUGGGGACUCAGUGGAGACCGCCGGGGUCAACUCGGAGGAAGGUGGGGAUGACGUCAAGUCAUCAUGCCCCUUAUGUCCAGGGCUUCACGCAUGCUACAAUGGCUGGUACAGAGAGUGGCGAGCCUGUGAGGGUGAGCGAAUCUCGGAAAGCCGGUCUCAGUUCGGAUUGGGGUCUGCAACUCGACCUCAUGAAGUCGGAGUCGCUAGUAAUCGCAGAUCAGCAACGCUGCGGUGAAUACGUUCCCGGG